CAUUUAUCAAAUGGCUUUAAAGAGAAUUUAAUCUUUAGAAAUAUUUAGGGACUUUGUUUGGAAUGAGGAGAGAGAACCAAUUCACUGAGAAAUGUUUUCUCCAAAUUCGAAUGUGUCUGAAUUAUGUUUACUAUCACACAAUUGAAUGAAAUAUUCAGAGUAACUUUGAAUUUUCCAGAGAUAACUACAUUUAAACAAUGUAUUCAUUUGUAGAAUCAGGCAUUGAUCCACUUCCCAGGUCAAAAUCUUUUCUUCUCAAUCUCAGCAUAUUAAAACAGCAUCCAUUAAAUUCAACAUUGAAUAAAUGAUUUCACUAAUUUGUAGUAUAUGUAAAUAUGUAGUUUAAAAGCUUAAUGUUGAGAAAGAGAUCUAUGAAAUUAUUUUUUUCUUGAAGAUUUUGCAGUAAAAUCUUCAGCUUCUAGGCUAUUUGGUGAUUUCUAUUGGUUGUCCUAGGAACCUGCUCUCUGUAUCUGCUGGAUUGAUUAGAAAUGUCUAACUCAUUGUUCCUGAGAGUAGACUUUGGUAUAAUUGAAUGCGGUGUUAUAACAGCUCUUUAUACUGAAGAAUUUAUUGGCCAUCCCUGCAUAAUGAUGGGUUUUCUGUGUCUGUGUUUUGAUUCAGUCUACUUAUAGAUGAAGGAUCAAUUUAGAUGAAGAGACACACCUCUUAUAUUUGAUCAGUGAUAGACUGCAGUUGAAAAUAAAAAACCCAAAAUUUAAGGUGCGAUUAGUUUAGACAAACAAAACUAGAGUCAUAUUCUGAUUUUUUUCCCCUGGGGCUUCUCAUUUGAUAUAUAAUUUUUCUCAUUUUUCUUUCUGCUAUAUACUAUUUGUCAAGCUUUUCUUAUGUAACACAGAUCCAAGGUCACAUUUAGAGUUUAGUCUCCAUAUCUAAUAUGAGAAUCUCUUGUUUUCCAGGUUUUUUCUUGGGAUUCGAUGAACACAGAUGGUUUACUGUUCUCUGGUCCAGGAAUACAAAUGCUGAUGUGAGGCUCUUCAGAGCCUUAAGGCAAGUCAAAAUUCUGAUUGGAGCAGGAUACUUCAGAAAUACUUCUCAACAUAUACCGAGAAGCUGCUCUGUGACAGAUGAUACGCCAAACAGCUGGGAAGCAAAGAUGAGGAAGACAUGACCCUGUCCUAGAAAAGCUUCUUGACUUGAAGCUGGGCUUCAUGGGCUCCAGCUGCACUGACCUUGCUGUUUUCUUCAGUAAGCCGUAUGUUCUGCCUGGGGUCUGCAACACAGCAUGUUCUCUGAUGUGCCUGACCGAUUUCCCCUUACUCUCAAAUCAUCUAUUCCGCUUUCAAGUUUCUAUUCCUCUGUGGAAUCUGCCUUGACUUUCUAAGGGUGAGUCAAGUAGUUGCUUCCUCAGUUCCCAUAUUCUCUGUGUUACCUUUAACAGUACUUAAUACAUCAUCAUCACUGUCUGUUUACUUAUCUGUUGUUCACCAAAGAAAUAACUCCUAGAAAGAGAGACUGAGCCUUGUUCAUUCUUUGAUCAGUACACACAAUGGAUGCCUCAAAAGAGCCUCUCAAUAUUUGUGAAUCUUGGUAAAGAAUAUGCUAUAGAAAGAACUAUUUCAAGAAAAAUGUUUUAGAGAUGUAAUAGGUAAACAGCAAUCUGAACAUGUAACUUUUUUAUUUUUAUGGGGUGAUAUUCAGUUAGU
rnacentral:lncRNA from 13 species